rnacentral:rRNA from 1 species
GACGAACGCUGGCGGCGUGCUUAACACAUGCAAGUCGAACGCUGAAGCUUGGUGCUUGCACUGGGUGGAUGAGUGGCGAACGGGUGAGUAAUACGUGAGUAACCUGCCCUUGACUCUGGGAUAAGCCUGGGAAACUGGGUCUAAUACUGGAUACGACAUGUCACCGCAUGGUGGUGUGUGGAAAGGGUUUUACUGGUUUUGGAUGGGCUCACGGCCUAUCAGCUUGUUGGUGGGGUAAUGGCUCACCAAGGCGACGACGGGUAGCCGGCCUGAGAGGGUGACCGGCCACACUGGGACUGAGACACGGCCCAGACUCCUACGGGAGGCAGCAGUGGGGAAUAUUGCACAAUGGGCGGAAGCCUGAUGCAGCGACGCCGCGUGAGGGAUGACGGCCUUCGGGUUGUAAACCUCUUUCAGCACGGAAGAAGCGGAAGUGACGGUACGUGCAGAAGAAGCGCCGGCUAACUACGUG